rnacentral:lncRNA from 1 species
UUUUUUUUGUAUCUAGUUUGUGCAGUUUUGUCCAUUGUCCGCAGUGUCCAUAGGAAUUUGAUUUUCAGCAAAAAAGAUGCAACAAGGAAUAAGAGAUAAUUUACCAUUUUGUAAUAAUCUUAAGUAUUGUAGUUUGAUAUUAACUAUGCAUAUUUGAAUGUUGUAAUGUAUAAUAUGAUAUAGCAUUAUUCAAAGAGAUACCAGCAAGGGCAAGCAUGAAUGAAUUUUGUAUGUUCUGGUGUGUUUGGUUAUCUGCUGCCCUCUAUCACCUAAUGGUUAAUCUAGCCCCAGAUACUCCAUAUGCACAUUCUAGGCACCCAGUCUCCAUUUAAAAUGAUGGGUAAGUAUCUCAGAACUUGACCAGAGCACUCCCAUGAGUUUCAAAUUUUAUAACAAGAAGUUAAGCCUCAAAUUCUUUGCAUAAGUACCAGUGCUGGGCGGUUUGCUACAGCCUCCAUAGAUUUCAGAUCCACAAGCGUAUUAAGAAUACUGCCCCUCACGAUUGAAGUACGAAAAAAAUCCAACCAUGAAACAAAAAGUUCCCUAACCUGUCAAAAUUCGAUACUAAACAAGAACACUGAAUGCAUUAAUAAUUUUCAUUCAACCAACUUGUACAUUAUUAACCCAGACAAGGGUACAGAUGCAGGUUUGGAGAAGAAGCAACUUACUGGGCCAAAUGCUCGAGAAUCCCAACUACGAGCAGCAUUAUCACCUUCAACCCAGCAAUGCCCUUCUGGGAUCUUAGUAACCUUAGGGGACCCAGGGAGCUGUAUCCACUCACCAGGAAGUGCAAUCAAUCUCUUCACAAACAACUCCUUAUGAUUGCUAGGGCACCUGCAGACCACACAAGGAACGAUCAGACUCGACUCUCGAGACAUGGAACAAGUUAGCGCAUCAAUCUUUUUGUGGAAUUGCCCCCAUCCUUACUUGAACAAAACCACAUCACCAUGUGAGAACUUGUACUUCUCAAGGCAUCUUCUUUCUGCUAAAACGAAAUCACCUGGUUCCAACACCCUGGUCAGCACAAACGAGAAGACAAACUACUUGAAUAGGGAAGAAUGAACCAACUGUCCAUGACAGCUUGAUAUGUACAAAUUGAAAUCACAAUACCCUGUAAGACACUGUUGGCUGCUGUGAAGGUAGGAUACAUAGAUUCACCAGUCACCGAGACGAAUGUCACACAACGAUCGGAAAUGGUGACGCCAAGUAGAACUGCCAUUACAUUCUUCUUGGCAGUUGACCAAAUAUGGUUGUAGAUUCCCAUAUCCAAGUACCCAACUAUCCAGGCAGUCAUAAAGAUAGCAACAGUAAGUGAAAAUACUGAAUAAACACCAGUACAUCAAUAACUGGGCAGCUAAGACAAUGAACGGCGUAUACAAGAAAUGUGUGGAAGCAGAAAUUCCUCCGGCGGAUUUAACUUGGAGCAUGUGAAAUCAAUCAAGACUUACCAAGAAAUGGGGGUAAGGUUGGUACGGGUGGGUUUCCACUGAUCCAGCGGAGGGACGAGAAGAUUUAGCGCUGGAAAUUCGGAGAAGCAACUGCACUCUUGUACAGUUAUAUUACGGGGUAGAUCGAGGAUGCUUCCGAAGAGGCGCCCGAGAAGAACGGUGGGAUGCUGCCGUCGUCGUCGGCGGCGGCGGCGCGGGCGCGGGGGUUUGGUUUGGGUUGGGCCUGUUCAGUCGGAGAAGGCAGUGCGCGCCCUAGUCGAAAAGAAAAGGCAAAGCAGCCGUCCGAUCGCGCAUCAACGGUGUAAAUUAAAGCCCGUUUACUGGGGACUGGUGAGGGCGUGAGGCUGGGGGUUGGUACGGGUCUGGCUCCAGCCGAGCUGAGCCGAGGGAGGACCCAACUGUGCAUUAGGUCGGCUCCGACUCCGACCCGCAGCCGGCCCUGCCCACAGACAUCGCCCCCUGCCACCGUCGGCGGCGGCGACUGACCCCCGUAGCAAGGCGCCACCGCCACGCUUCGCCCCUGUCGCGCCGCGCGGCCACUUUCUGCGGCUGCUCUACCCCAGGCGAAACCUCCCAUCUCGUCACGGUAAGCACCACUUCUAUCACCGGGCGUCCGCGCCCUGUAUCCGUGCUCUUGGAUUCGACGAAAUCUGGCUUCGCACGGGCUUCUGUAGUAGGGUUUUUGCGUUUCAAAUAACGAAAUUUUGGGUUCGUCACUGGUCCGCCAUGCUGUUGCUUACAGCUUAAGUCACGGCCAUGGAUUUUGAUUAGGGUUUAUAAUAUGGUUUAGCGUCAGCAAAGUCUUGUUAUCGGUGCCUGUCUCAGGAAUAGGGUUUUGCGUCUCGGUAGAAUGUGUUAUUAGUGGCUUAAAGCGGAGCUGAUGAUCAGUUUGCAGCAGCGGGUGGUAGGCUAGAGAAUGCCGUGGAUCCUCAAGUCACAAAUGUGCAAAUUAUCCAUUUGUCCGGAUUUGAUCUGGUUUUAAUUGGGUUUCAUUUUUCUGAGUCUGUGACCUCUGUUCUAUGUUUUAGUAUGGGAUAUUUGAUGCUAUAGUGAUUUUGAUACUGUUAUUAGAAGGAUUGUGGAAUUUAGUUCCAUGAUAUAUGAAAAGUUAUGGUGUCAAUUACUCAUUGCUGUGUUUAUUGAACUUGUUGCCAGUCAAUUGUAUACAAGUUUCUUGUUUUCCCCAAUGCCAUUUUUAGAUUUUUAUCUUAUAUUACAGAUUCAUCCAUUACUUCCAACUCGUUAUAGUUAGGAUUCCCUUUUAUAGUAUAGCAGCAUAGCAGACGUCUGUGGUUCCUUUUUGGAGUUCCAUUGUACUAUUGGAAUUUGUAUGCUUAUUGCUACUACUAAUGCUUAAUGUGCAGCAAAUUUAUAUUAGAGACUUCCUUUCGAUUGCAGACCUUGUUCUGCAGUUCUAUUAUAACAAGUUCAACUGUGGAAUGCUUAUUUCCUUUUGCUAUUGUCUACCUCAAUUUGAUAUUGUUUAUCAUUCUUUUGUGUAUAGAUACCUCAAGUUUCUAGCUACCUGACUGUAUGCAGUAGGAACUACGAUGGAUGGGUCUGAGUCUAGUAGAGGUCGCAGCAAGCAGGAAGUUGAGGAAAAUGUUAAUACAAGGAGCAGUUGGAAGGAGGAACAUGAAAAUCAGGAGAAUGCAGAUAGCAGAAAGUAUUCUGACAGAUCCAGAAAACAUGGAUAUGAAUAUGAAGUUGGGCAUCAGGAUGAUGAUAGGAUGAUCACACCUUCAAAUGAUAGGAAUGAAUCAAUGAGGAACUCAGAUAGAAGCUCAGGCCUGGCCUGCAGUGCUGACGAAGACAUCUAUAAUGUGAGAAAGGACUCACGAUCACCCAAACUUCCAAGGAGAAGCCCUGAUGAUUCCAAGGAUAGGGACUAUGAUAGAAGGAGGGGAAGAGAGGACAAGAAUGAAUGGGAACCUUCAAGAAGAUUUAGCCCCGAUGCUUCUGCUAGGAGUUCCGAGAGGAGGGAGGGUAGCAGGGAGAAGCAACAACGGGACCAAGAGGAAAAGGCUUCAGUCAGGAGGACAGAUGAGGUUUAUGCUGAUGAAAGUGGUGGUUCUCUUAGGGUUGACACAAGAGAAGCCCAAAGGGAUGAUAAAUCAGACAGAGGGAGGGACAGAAGUUGGAAUGAGAAAGCCCGAGAUCUUGAAGGGUCUAAGGAUUAUGGUAGGAACAGUCAGUUGCGAGAUCCUAAGGAGGCAAAUGAUGCUGAAUGGAGAAAUGCACAGGAAAGGCUAGAUGGUGGGAAUUUCCAUGGCCGAGGUGGGUACCGGAGAGAUUCUAGGGGUAGAUCUGAAAGUGUUAGAGGUCCCUCAACCUAUGGGAAUCGAUAUGACAAUUCUGAUUCCAUAGAGAUUCGGCCUAAUAGUAAUCUUAAUUUUGGAAGGGAGGGCUCUGCUUCUGGGAGAAGAUUUGAAGUGGGAGCACAUCGGGAUUCAGUACCAGGAGGAACUGAUGAUAAAUCCACUGAUUAUCCUGAAUCAGAUCCAAGUGGCGGCACCAGCAUGGUUUCUUCAUUUCCUCAACAAGGUCCAAAAGGUGAUAGACCAUCUAGAGGAGGAAGGGGGAGGCCAAAUGGAAGGGAUUCUCAAAGAAUUGGAGUUCCAAUGCCAAUCAUGCCUCCUCCAUUUGGUCCUCUCGGCCUGCCACCAGGACCAAUGCAGCAUAUGGGACCAAAUAUUCCGCAUUCCCCAGGUCCUCCUCUUCUACCUGGCGUCUUCAUGCCGCCAUUUCCAGGACCUCUUGUGUGGCCUGGAGCACGAGGUGUUGAUGUGAAUAUGCUUUCUGUUCCUCCCAACCUUCCCAUGCCUCCUCCAGUUGCUGCUGAACAUAGGUUUACACCAAAUGUGGGAGCUGGUUCUGGUCAUAAUAUUCACUUAAAUCAAAUAGACACUGGGUUAGGUGCUCCAACAGAUGUAUCAGGAUUGGGUUACAAUCAUAUGGGCCCGCAAAGCCGUGACAUGCUCCAUGAUAAACCAGGUUGGACGCCACAUAGGAACAGUGGACCAAACAGAAAAGCUCCUUCAAGGGGUGAACAAAAUGAUUACUCACAGAACUUUGUGGACACUGGCAUGCGGCCUCAAAAUUUCAUUAGAGAACUGGAUCUUACAAGCGUAGCAGAGGACUAUCCAAAGUUGAGAGAACUCAUACAGAGGAAGGAUGAAAUCGUUGCGAAGUCAGCUUCACCGCCAAUGUAUUACAAGUGUGACCUGCGGGAACAUGUUCUUUCUCCAGAAUUUUUUGGUACCAAGUUCGAUGUUAUUCUUGUGGAUCCUCCAUGGGAGGAGUAUGCCCAUCGUGCACCAGGAAUCACAGAUCACAUAGAAUAUUGGAAUGCUGAGGAGAUUAUGAAUUUGAAGAUUGAGGUUAUUCCCGUUUCUUUCUUCAAACCUUUCUCUUUUGGGGGUUCACUUAUGCUGCAGAAUUAACUUGUCAAAAUGUAUUUUUGAAUCAACAGGCUAUUGCAGAUACACCCUCCUUUGUGUUCCUUUGGGUUGGCGAUGGUGUAGGCCUUGAACAGGGUCGUCAAUGUCUAAAGAAGGUAGUAUAGCUGCUAUUUUUUUACUUUUAACUAGCUGGUUGCCCGUGCUGUGCAUCAUAUUUCCAUUAAAAAGCAUAUAGAAUUCUAGGCUCUAACUAUUUGAUUACAUAUAAAAUUAAGCCACAAAGGAACCACAUAUGUAUAAAAUGGAAGGCCCUCUAUGCAUUAUCUUACACACAUAGGUACACACAAUUGCCCAGAAGAUCCAUAUGUAGAACCAACCACUACUAUCACUAACUGUGCUUUCUACAGAAGUAAAGAUACUUGCACAAUUAUUCUUUUUGUAAUGACAUCCCUUUUGGGGGGUGGGAGAUUGAAAUCAGUUUACAGGAGGGCGACCUGGCUGCUAUAGUCGAUCUGCUAAACUUUACCCAUGAUGUGCUUCAUUCAUGCAUUUUGCCCUCUGAGGGAAGGCAUAGCAAUAUAAACAAUGUUCUAUGCUUUCAUUUCAUCUAGAUAUGUCUUUAAAUUUAGAGCUGUUGAUGAAAUGCUGCAUUAACUAAUAUAUGAUGAUCCUGACUGACUUUUUCUAUUUUCAGUGGGGAUUUCGUAGGUGUGAGGAUGUUUGUUGGGUGAAAACGAACAAGAAAAAUGCAACACCAAGUCUGCGGCAUGACUCACAUACAUUGUUGCAGCAUUCAAAGGUAAUGUUGUAGUUAACUAGUAUGUGUUGUAUCAUUGUGCUGCCUUGUUUAUAUUUUUUUGGAAAACAUGCCACGCUUAUAUUCUCUUAUCCCUGUAUUCUCUGUCCGUCUUAUGAAGUAUAUACUCUUUCCAUGUGCAGGAGCAUUGCUUGAUGGGCAUAAAAGGAACAGUGCGUCGUAGCACGGAUGGUCACGUCAUCCAUGCAAAUAUUGACACAGAUAUAAUUAUAGCUGAAGAACCAACUGAUGGUAUUGUUUUCUUAGGUUUUAUAUGAUCUUUAUUCCUGUUCUUCGUAUAUGCUUGUGAUAUACUAUUUGCUUUAUGACCAAGGGUUAUCAUUUUCAAUGAUGGGGUGCAUAAACUCAAUAAACUUAACUUCUCCAAAUUUUCUGUUCUGUUUUCGUUGCUGCGAUGGUAUGAAUAUUCCGGUUUGGUCCACCAAAAUGUAGUACUGUUUUGUAAAUUUGGCUUGGUUGGCAAAAACAUAUUUGUCUUGGCUUUUUAGGAAUUUGGGAUUUACAAAUUAUGUGAAGCAAAUUGUUCGUUGCUACCAUUUCCUCUGGGACAUGCUUAGUUGUUCAUGGUGAGCUUGGUGUCUUUUGAUCUACAAUAAUCAGAAUUGUGAUUAAAAAAAUGAAACUAGAUCAUAUAUUAUUGACUUUACUCAAACACCUAUAGCAAGUAUACCAGUAGGUCUGCAUCUCUUAGUGGUAAUAUCACUAAGCCCUUAUUGUAAUAAUCAAAUUGUAUGCAUGAUUGUGAAUUAUUUUUUUCAUUUUUUUUCGUAUGGUUGAUCUUAAUGUGUUCUCUUCUGUAGGUUCAACAAAAAAGCCUGAGGACAUGUAUAGGAUCAUUGAGCAUUUUGCUCUUGGAAGGAGGCGGCUUGAACUCUUUGGCGAGGAUCAUAACAUCCGUCCAGGCUGGCUUACUCUUGGGAAAAAUUUAUCUUACUCGAACUUCAACAAAGAGGUAUAGCUGGACAUACAACAUCAUGAAUAUACUUACACACGCAAGCCUUUCUAUGCCAUCAGCUCCGCAGAUCUUUUUACAUAGUCUCUGUUAUGAUUUCUCUCUUGCAGACAUAUAUUAGGAAUUUUGCGGACAAGGAUGGAAAAGUAUGGCAAGGAGGUGGUGGUCGAAACCCUCCCCCAGAGGCUCCUCACCUUGUUGUGACAACUCCGGAGAUCGAAAGCCUGAGGCCCAAGUCACCCCCAGCAAAGAACUAGCAGCUGUGGUCAAUUUUGCAGAGCUGGCUACAUUUUUGAAACUGUAGCUUUAACGCUGUUGAAGGUCCAGCUGAGGCCUUGUGAAUUUUCCGUCCGCACAAUUAAAAUUUUUCCGACGGCUCAGUCUGGAGCAACUAUCUGUGAUGGAAAAUACGAUUCACUUUCUCCUAUUGGUGUUCUUUUAAUGCGUCCAAUACUUUUAUGCUCCUCCUUGUUGCUUCAAGGUUGCAGCCAGUAUAUUUGUUCUUGCUGCAUGCCAAGCCCCUCAGAAUAGUAAGGUUGAUUCUAAAUUCGGAUGCUCCCAUUGUGUCUGUCGCAUCGUGCAAGAAACAGAAAUUGUCUAUGCCAGUUUUGCAAAUCGUUUCUGGAACCCUGCCUACCCUGCCUACCUGAUUGAUACUAAGAUGGAGCCAUGGAUAACUAUCCGUGGUAUAGAAAAACCAUUUUUAUUACGGUGUUAUAUUUGGAAGGAAUUCUCUCGAGACAUGCACGCGUACGCUUUCAGACAGGCGCCGAUUUGACAAACCCGGGAUACUGACGAUAGUUUCAGACUAAACAACUCGGCAAGGCGCUAACCUGAUUAGCUAGCAUUACGUUACAGCAUAUGUGCAACGACAGCACUGCCUUGUCCUUUUUAUCGGCCGCAACGAAGUGGAAUACCAACCGUGUGACGCACGAGUCGUUCUCGCCCAGAAGCCAAACCGGACCGUCUCGCCGCCGGAUGAUUGCAAUGCAUCUUUUUUUGAAAUGGUUUACGCGUUGUCCCUGCCGAUGGAAUCUUGCAGGGGAUGGAGAUUUUGCCGCGUGAUUCGAGGGCCACGACGCACGCUCCCAUUGCGGGCCUCCAUCAGCUUCGUUUUGGCCUGGCCCCAAGCUAAAUUAUUCGCCGAAUCUGCUGCUGCUUGUUUGUUGUACUACUACACUAAUUAGGUGAAUUUGUACUACUACACAUUUUGCUUGGAGACGAUAGGCUUCAAUGAAUUGUCUGGAAUUAUUAUCUUGUGUGUCUCUUGUCCUCUCAUGUCGCUGUUGUGUCCUGUACUCCUGUUCUUGUCAGCCCUUUGCUUAGGAUCUUAGCAACAUUACCACUUGGCCGCGAUAUCCCUUCCGAGACAAAUCCUCUAUUAAUGGCUACAGCGACGGAUAAAGCGUAGAAAUCCGGCCAUCCAUCCACUCAUCAUCCCUUCCUCUGCAACACACAAGUCAAUACUUGGAUAUAUCUUGGUUUAAAAAAAUACUUGUAUAUAUACAAAUAUUCCAGCUGCACGCACAACACACGGCUGUACAGUACAGCCAACGUCUCUGUCCCGCUUUUCACCGUGUCUGUCCUCUCCCUCGUCUGCACUACGCUGUCAGCCAUCAAGGAAAAUCACAGUGGCACACUUACUCGGGCAUUGACCUCAGCCUGCAGGGUGAAAACGAUGGCGCCGUGCCGGGUUAACCUCUUCACAGGAUCUGAAACGGCUGCUUGAUCCUGAUGGAGAAAGAAGAAAGCACGGCACACAGUUUGCACGCUGUAGCCUGAAACAACCCUCAGGAAAACGUGCUACUGACCCAUCGCCGUUCAGACGUGCAUGCAAAUUAUUUCGCGAGGCGAUUGAUGGAUGGCGCGCUGCACCUUCCAGGAGCCGAGUUGGUCGGAGAGAGCGCGGCGCAGGACACGAUCGGACGGCCUGGACACGAGAGAAUGGACGUGUUUUUUGUUGGGUUUCUCUUCUCCGGUGUCCCGCUCCGUCGGCUUCGCGGCGGGUUGUUGGGGUUGGGUUCGGUGUGACGCGCUCCGGAUUCUGACGCGCGCGGGUCAGGUGAGGUAGCCGGCCAGGGCUUCCCAAAUUUGUCAGGGAAUCGUACCAGCUGGGUGUCGGGUUCGAAAGAACCGGCAGGGUGAAGGCUACCACCAGCCGCUGCUGCUGCUCCACAAGAUUUCAGCGUCAGGCGGUCAGUGUAUCACUGAUGGAUGGACGCACGUACAGUGAGCUGGGCUCCUGAAGAAUCAUGAGCCUGCCUGGCUGAAAACAGCUCGCAUCGCGUCCUGCUCUGCUCCUGUGCGCGCGUGUUCGAUCGAGAGAAAAAGGAAGCAUAGUAUUUACUAACGGUAGUAGGUAAUGGAUGUGUGGAUCGAUGGAAAUGUACAGAUAGCCUUGACAUUUGCGGCCACAUCUUGCAAAAAUAUCUUCUCAACACUAAGGUUGCACUGGACUGAAACGUGAACUGGGUGUGCAUAUCUAUCUAGCUUGCUGGAUAGAGGGAAUGGCGUGUUCUAACUAACCAAGCUAGCUAGUUCACUUCGCGUACUACAUACAGACUAGGCCGGCACAAAGUUCCAAGAGAUAGGAUGUGUAGGGUGUAGGUCGAGUACCCAUAGCGUACAAUCUCAUGCAUAAUCAAAUCCGGUAACACUAACCAUGGAAAUUAACUUCGGGAGGAUCUGAUGCAUUCCCACGUUUGUCAAUUGUCAAAGAACCCUAAUGAUGAAAAACGUACUAUACUACUCACUGCCGAACAAAUUAAGGAAGACCAUCGACCGAUCAGCUAGCUAGCUGAAAAAUGCAUCCAAACAAGCUGCUUUUGUCAAUGCCUGCUGUUACAGCUUGACUCGAUCAGUCGUCUUAUCGUCCAGAGUAGCUUAAAUUAAAGUACGGCAGCAAGUCAACAAGUGAGGCCAUCACACAGGUAACGAUGAACCGCUUUAUCUUGUACGUACAUCGGUACAUGUACAUCACCCAGCAGGUGCCACGCAUACCACGAUCCCAAAAACCCUACUACACGUCGUACGUACGCGAGCAACAGUGUCCAUGCAUGUAUCCAUCGAUCUCAACAUCUGGGAAAUGCUUGUGUGGUCGUCUGUGCUCAUGGUCCAAAGUCCAAGCCGUAGCCUUCAACCGAUCCCUAGCGGGAGAUGAUUGAGCAGCGACCAUUCCACUGCUGCUGCUGGGGAAAGCAUCCUCAGUAUCGGUUUCUAAUCCCCUUUUAUUACUGGUUGUACAACCGGUAUUGCUACUUCGGUACUAAAGGGUACUAGUACCGGGUCAAAUAAUCGGUACUACAGGAUAUUAGAAAAAAUAAAAAAAGAAAUCCGGCCGGCCGCCUGGCCCUGCAUCCCGCUGGGUGCACCCGGCUGCGCCGCCACCGCGCCUCGUCGGCGCCGGCUACCCCUCCCCCGCGACCCGCAUCCCACUGGUCGCACCUCGCUGCCCCGCUGCCGCCCCGCCGCCUGCCGACAUCUGUGGCCCCGCCGGAUCCGGCCGGCCGCACCUCGCUGCCCCGUCGGUCUGGCAGCCGCCAGAGCCUGGAGCGCCGGAGCUUAGGCACGGUAGGAGGGAAGGGAGGGGAGGGGAGGUGCGGGGGAGGGAGAGGGGCGUGGUGGCGCCGCCGCCGUCAGCCCCGGAGCAAAAAAGAAAAAAGAAAAUACCUAUGCCCCGCGCGUCGCCGCGUCCGGCCUGCAGCAGGCCCCUGCACCCCGCCGCCUCCGGCUGGCCGCUGCUCCCCCGCGCGCUGCUGCACCCCCGCACGUCACCGCUUCCUUGCUGUCGCUCCUCAUUGCCCUGCACCUCGCCGCGCUGCCACUACUCACUGCCAGUGAGGGACGAGCAGAGGGGGAAGGGGAGGGGCAGCAGAGCUGGCUGGCGAUUGAGCAGAGAUUGGGGGAGCGAGAGAGGAGGGGGCGAGGCCUGCGGCGGGAGAGGGGGCGGCUGGGGAGAAGAGAGAAGGGGAAGAGAUAAGUGUGAGAGAAGAGGAGAUAAGUUUGAGAGAGAAGAGAUAAGGAGGCGGGUGGGCAGUUAGUACCGGUUGGGAGCUACAACCGAUACUAAAGGUUGCACAUUAGUACCGGGCUCAGGCACAUUAGUACCGGGUGGAUGGGUGACCUUUAGUACCGGUUGGAGCCAACCGAUAUUAAAGGGGUCACGGGAGGCUCUUAGGGAACUAGCCGUUAGACACGGUACUAAUGCUCACAUUAGUACCGAGUCAAAAAUCAACCGAUACUAAGGGCCAGAACCAAUGCUCAGUUUUCCAGCCAGCGAUUUGAAAGUGAAGCCGCAGCAUAUGAUGGAGUGCUGGGAGAGCGAGAGCAUUACAUGUGCUGAUAGAUGGUGUGAAUGGAGGGAAGACUUCGCAGGGAGCUAGCGAGCUAGCUGCAUGCCGUCGAAAUCGAUCGGAGGACCAUGGUUUCGUGGCGUGCAAUUAUUUUGGCGAGGCGACUUGUGAACGCAUUCAAUGCGCGGGCACCAUCUACUCCCAGUAUAGCUAGCUUAUCGACGACGUGCAUCAGUGCCUGGCUGCAACUGGCAUGCUGUACGCACUUGCAAAUCGUAACGCUGACAAUUCGGUGUACUAAGUGUAUCUACAUCUAUAUAUAUCGGUAGUAGGUCGAAUAGGAGUAUAAGACACAUCAAUUACAUCGUACAGCCAACAGAAUUGGUGUGAUAUAUAACACGUGAGUACGUGACAACAAAGACAACCACUCUGUCGUCUGAAAUUGCAAGGGUGGUUAUUUCAAUUCUUUAGAAAAAAGGAGCAACCAUUAUUCUACUGCCACAUAAUUUUUGCGAUACAAGGUUGAUGCUAAUAGAUUUAUAUUUUAAAAAAUACUUUCUUACAAAUACACAUUUAUAUUGUGUAAACAACAUAUUAAUAGAGUAAUUGUUGGAUAUAAAUAACUAUCUUACUAGAACAUGAAGCUUCAAUCAUGUUCUGAAGUCAAGAGCAGUUAAAACGGAGGAAAAACUGCAGUACACGACGAGGCCGUGGACGAAAUCAUGCAGCUGCUUUUUCAGUGCUGAGGUGAUAUCCAAAUACACGCAUUGAAACUCGUGGGGACGAGCAUCCAUAAAUGCCUUCCCACCUGGACAAGCACGCGACCUCGUCCGCUUGCCCUUGAUCCUACCGAAUUAUUUUUUUAUUUUAACCCUUUUACAUCUAAAAUUUUGAAAAUAACCCCACCCAAUCUAAAUUACCAAAAAUUAGCGCUUUUGGUCGCGCUAAAAGACAUGGUGCGACUUAUAACAGAGUCACGCCAUAUGCAAUGGUGUGACUAAAAUACCACAAUAAAAUACCACAAUGGUGCGGUCACGCCAGCAUGUAUGGCGUGACCAGCGUCGAGCUGGUUGCAGGUUGCUAGCAUGUGUAGUAAGUGCAAAAAAAAUCAGUUCACUUAACCUUAUUUCCUUUUAUACUUUAAUUAGCUAAUCAGCACUUAAAUUCUCCAAACUUGGUAGACAUAAUACAUAAAGUAUACAUGUUCCAUUUUAAGUGCUUGCACUCCAAAAUAUGAUGUAAAUAAUGAAAAAUCCUAUUUCAAAAUAGUCUAAGAGUUAUUGUUUCCCAAGUGGCUGAAAUGUCUGUGUUGUGGAUAUGUUAUCAAAUAGCCAUGUUGAGGGGUGUGGAUUUUUGGAUUUUGGCCAAACACUCCAAAUUUGGACAACAUGAAAGUUGGAGUAGAAAUUAUACACAUUGUCAUAGAAAGAUUAUGGUUCAACGAUCUAGAGCAAUGAGAGUUCAAAGAUCAAGUCCAAGGUUGCAAAUUAUCCCAUUUUCAGCCUCGACGGGAAAUCUCACCGAGUCCUGGAAACAGUGAUAACUAUGCUUCUUUGGAUUAUGUUUUAAAAAGAUUUCAUGUAUCAACUUUAGUUCACCUGAAAAUUGAGUAGGAAUAUCGGGAUUUGGGAAGUUAAGAAGGACCAAAAUGGAGACUUGAUUAUUUAUUUUGGAGCCUAAAGUUUGAACUUAUCACUAUUUUUAACCAUGACAGGAUAUCACCGAAACUCUGAAGCUAAGCUCGAGAUCACUUAACCUAUUUAUAAAUUGGAUACUUCAUUUUAUACACCAUAUUUAGAGUACCAACACUUAAAAUGGAAUAUAUACACUCCAUGCAUUAUACCUGACAAGUUUGAAGAAUUUAUGAUCUCAUUAGCUAAUUAAAAUAUAGAAGGAAAUAAGGCUACUUAGAAAAAGGCUAGCAAGGAGCUUGUCAUGCCAUACUUUGGCGUGACUGACCGUCACACCACGCAACUUGGCACGUCAGCCCCACGUGGUGGCCGCGCCAUCGUGGGAUUUUAGUCACACCAUUGCAUGUGACGUGACUCUGUUAUAAGUCGUGCCACGGCUUUUGGCACGACCAAAAGCGCUAGUUUUUGCUAAUUUAGAUUGGGAGAGGUUAUUUUAAAAUUUUAGAUUUAAAAGGGUUAAAAUAAAAAAAUUCUGAUUCUACCGGGGUCGGAAUGGAUAGAAUUUAAUUUGGUCAGGGAUCCAUACUGCCAAUAAUCAUACAACUUGGAGCACUUUGUUUUGGAGCUACAGUACUACUAGAACUCGAGGGCAGUCGCAAUGGCAGUCAUCUCCAUGAUCGCACCGUGAGAACUCGAGGGCAGUGCACAUGCCGGUGUUGGCGGAUUCACAUUCAGAACUUUCAGAUGAUGAGGUUCCGGCAUGAACGAAGGGAUUGGGCAAAAGCAGUAAGGGGAAGCAGGGUUGGAGCUAGAAAGUCAUUUUUCCGUUUUUUUUUGGGAGGGCGCAAUUUUUCUUCAAAAUUUGAUCAAAUUCAAAAAUUUAAAGGACCAUGACUAAAGAAGGCAGAUUCUGAAAUACUUCUGGAAAUAUAAGGUUCAUGUUAAUAAUAGAUUCAUCAUGAAAUACACUUUCACAAUAUAUAUAUACAGCAGUCAUUUCUAUUUAAAACAACAGUACAGUUUUUACACAUAUUUUUUGAGCAAAUGUUUUUAUAAAAUAUUUGCACAGUUAAAUUGACACAUAAGAGAUCGCGUCGAUGAUGUCUAGAUGAACUUAUAUUAAUGAUCAAGAUGAGCUAUUAGGAAAGCGGGGGAGCAUACACGAAGCGAAACAGAAUCUAGUUGAGAUGGUGCCAAUAGCAAAUAUUUAGAUAUGCACACUGAGGCAUCGAUCCCUACUAAAAUUAUCAGAUAAAGAGCAAACAAAAUUUCCUACAUUUAGCAUAUCCAAUCAAUCGAUCGUCUAUAUCAUAGAGCAAUCAUCAGAGCCGUCGAGAUGACCCAUUUGAGCUCAUUACGACAAGACCGAAGAAAGGAAAAUAAACCUAUCAACUUCUUCUAGUACGUACUACAAAAAAAAGUUUGUUUAACAUUUGUAUCGUUUAAGCAAGAGCAACAGCUAGCAUGAUUGAAGCUUCCUUGCUUUUUGCCGUUGCGGAGAUGACGUGGUGCUUAAUGUGCUAAUUAACAUUGGACAGCAAAGAUUGUUAGAUUAUCACAAUCUCAUCAGCUCCCUCCUCCUCCUCUGCCUUCGUUCGCACGCCUUCGUUCGUACUUGGAACCUAGGAUACACAUACACGCAUCUAUGCUGUGCCUAUGCGUGCGUCAACCGAUCAAAAUUCAGCAAAUAAUUAAUACCGGGACAUGAUUAGCAACGAUUAUAAAGACAUUUUACUGCAUUGAUCCUUCUCUCUGCCAGCCGGUCAAAUAUCCAAUCCGAACGAACGUCGUUGAUCUGAUGCAGUGCCAUCAUGCUCGCUUUACGGGGAAAAAAGCGCAGCCAUCCACCAGUUCAUGUUCAUCCAUGGAUAGAUUCUGCCGCAAUGCAGGCACGGAUUAUCCUUCCUCAUCCAUAGCAUUAAGAUGGUCAUCUUCCCCAUUAUCUAAAAAAAAAAGAUGGUCAUCUUCCCCGGCCGGCCCUGUUCAUCGGCUCUUCCAGUUGAACAGUCCCGGGUCCCCCACCAAACACAAAGCGAUAAUCCAACGCGAUUAGUUAGGUAAACCACGCGUUGUUAAACCUUAAUGAGCCCGCCUGACUUUUUUUACCCGCACCACGUACCCAGGGUCGCAACGCACGCAUACGACCGGCCGACGGCGACACGGCUGCGGAUGGAUUGGGCGGACGGCGACGAGCCAACCGUCCUGGCUCGUCCCCGGCGAGAAAGGGAUCGGAUUCAUACGAGCUAGUAGCUCUUAAGCUGUGGUGCUGCUGCUGCGAAUGAAGCUGCGGCGUCGCUGUCGGCGUUAACAGGGCCGUGGACCGGUGGCGUCCGUACCUACAGAGAUCGCGCCCCGGCGGCAGAUCGAUUCAUGGAGCUGCUGGCAUUAGAAAAAAGAGCGCGGGCGCGGCGAGCCUUUGGUGGCCGCACACGUACGUCGCCCGCCCCGCCGCGCCGCUUAUUUAAGCCCGGCGUCGUCUGCCUCACUUCACCACCACCACCAAGCAGCCGCAGCCAUCCACCGGCCUACCAGCGCAGCGCUGGACGUAUAUAAACAAGCCUGGCCGCCUCGUACCAACUACGAAGCAGGUAGGCGCGCGCACGACAGAUUGAGCACCGUGCGCUCGCCAGCACAAGAGAGUUUGGUGCCGUGUUGGGCGGCAUCGGUCGGCCGGCCGGCGGCCAUCAUAUCGGAGGAUAGUCAGCAAGGCGCAAGCUGAAGGGCCGGCUGCUACGCGGAAUCGGGGCAUUGUGUAAGUUCCUUCUGUAUAUCUCAACUCCUACUUCGUCCGAUCCUUGCUGGUUCUUGCUUUGCUUUCAGGCAUGAAUGGUAAGAUAGGGAUGUGUUAUGUGACAUGAUAUAUAGCAAGGUGCACUUGCCGCCGGCCUGCUAGGUUUGUAUGCAUUUGUAUCCGUGAGAAGGAACGCUUUCAUAACGUACAUAUACACGUACGCGUACCUACCUUUCUUUUAUUUGACCUCGUAUAUGUGUGUAGUACUCCGCAGCUUCAGCCUUCAAUCUCUUUCAUCAGUCUAUCCCCUGAACCGAUCGUCAUCAGAGUAGAUGAUGGUGAUCUCGAAUUUGAAGCCGGCCGGUCUGAUAAGUACAAAGUACUAGUAACUGGAGUAGCCAAAGAAGCGAGCGAGGAGUAGUGCACAUGUUUCGAAUCCAGCGUACGUACACAGCAAGCAGUCGUCGCGGCUGGACUGAAACGCUCAUGUGUGCAUACGCGCUUGACUGUACUCGGUGCGCACAUAUACGUACGUCUCGGUAUGUGCAUGCGCGAACAAGUUGCAGCACUACAUGACAUAUCCUGAACUAAAGCCAGAUCGCACUAGUAUAGAUCGUACAUGCAGUAUAAAUAGUUGCAGCACUAGAGUAGGAGUAGUUCAUAGUGGAGACUGGAGAGACAUGGGUGCAGUACUGGAGCCGGCACUACCAGAACAACAUGCACGGGUCGAUCGCCAGCAACUUGGGACGGGAUCACGGGGACACGCACACGCAUACGGCAUACAUGUCGCCAGGGCCAGGGCAAUGAGCUAGCGCCCGGGCAGAACUUGUUGGAAGCACGAGUACUUCAACAUCCCCGGCUCCCUGUCAUCAGUGAAUUUUCGAUCCAAAUGGGGGCACCAAUCAUCCAUUCACAAUAUUUGACAAGACAGCUCGAAGAUUUUGUGCACAAAAAAAGAAGAAGAAAACAGCAUCAGCCACAGGUACAGUAACAGUGCAAAAAAUCAACACCAUUUUUUACGUUUUUUUUUCUGUCAACACGGGAUCACUGCGGUGGUAGCUAGGUAGGUAGGCGUAGUUAUUUUGAGGAGAAUCAGAAGGCAUCGAUGAUGUGUCCUGGGCGGGCGGAGCAACCGUGACAGGCAGCAGAUCGAAAUCGAACCGAAGCUUAUCCCUGAAACAAGUUGACAACCCGGGCCUUUUUUCGCGGUGUUCCUUGAAGCUGCUGCUGCGAGUCUGCAACGAUCAACUUUUUAUAGCUCCCAAAGCGACGGCCACGAAGAAACCUGACACCAUCUUAUCCUAUCCCCCUCUCUCUUUCCCAGCAUGUGAUUGAUUGCACGGACGCGGGCCUCAGUUGGGCCAAAAGCCCGGACUUGGUGGACGGCUGGAGGUUGGUGUCGGUCGCAGGCUGAUCCGAUCGAACGGUGAUGCGUAGCCCUGAUGCUGGCUGUUGUGCUGCAGCAACUUGCGGUACUUGUAGGUGAAUUGUCCCGGUCUGAUGUCGUUAGGGCACUUAUGAAACACACCACAUGACCUUGUCUUCAAAUCAAAUCAGACGACGCGCGCGGGCGAUUGAAUUUGACGCCGCCGCCCUAGCUAUCUGGGGGAUGGAGGCAUCAAGCUCUGCAUCUCGUCUCUGAUCGAUCACUGUUCUAGCUAGGUUUACUGGCAUGCAGUGAAGCCACAGGACAGUAGGCUAUCUAGCUGGUCGGCGUUGCUGACAUGCAAGUUCAGGGCUUGCAUCGGUGGCCACUUGCCAGUGUUUUCUCUUUCAGUUCAUGGGUCUGGCACUUCCAAGUUUCCAGCAGUGUAGUGUGCCACUAGGCUCCGUGCUCUGCCUUUUGUUUAGACAGGGUAGGUCAUGUGCCCAAGCUAAAUUAUUUUUUUUCCUUCAUCUGAUCUGUGGCUGUCCACAAGUUUAUUGACACGUGGCUCCGCUCUUUGCCACUAUUGAGACUGCAAAUCUCUUUAAAAAAAAUACAAGCAGAUGACAGAAGGCACCAUCUGAGGGAGCACUGUUACUAGUGGACACUGUACUGGGUCUAACCGCACUUUUAAGACCUCAUCACAGCUGAUGCCACUAACGUCAACCCAUCCCUGUCAGUCAGUGCAACCGACGCUUGAUGAUGAGCUAGACUAGAAAUAAAGCUUCGUUUCAAGUGCCGGAAUUUUCUCUUAUUCCUGUAGGAGUGGAUCAUAUUUUUCUUCUUUUCCAAGCAUAUGUCCUUAUAACUAUGACAGGUUCCUUGUACAGCUCCUACCAAAAUCUAAAAUUGAUCAUUGUCCAUAGAAAUCCUAUUUUUAUUACACCGAAAACGUGUCGCAUAGGGUGGUAAUGGAUCAUGGCCCCAUAUCUUCUUCACAAUCCAAUUCAGCCCUACGUUCAAAAUCAUAUCAUAUUAUGUGAUCCGAUCUUUAUUGAGCCUGAUCCUUUACCUCUCCUAAGUAGUAGGAGUACUCCUAUUUCCUCGUAAUCCCAAUAUCUCCUUUUUAUUCUCCAGAAAAGAUUUUUCAUAAUUGCAUUUAUUCCCCGGACCGGAUAUAUACCGGGGGACGUAAAGCAAUCGAUAUUGAUAGCUGCCCUCUAGUUUUGUCGCUUCAACCGGACGCGUUUUCUUGGAUCUGAAGAAAUGGGCACCAUCAGCAGGAAUCCAAUUCAAACAUCAGUCAGCUGGGCAAACUCCCACGCGCUAAAUUCCAAAUCUGAAACAUCAAAAAUCUGGGUUCCGUCUCUAAUCGUAGUUCUCUCAGGAACCGAAUAACGGAUUCACUAGCACGGGAAAAGGAAAAAUGCUAGGUGUACUCUGAUGACAACAGCUCCAUACGAAAAUUGAACCAGUACCCAACACAAAUUCGACCGUUACUUUCCAUGACAUGCCCCUUUUAGAAGUCGACCAAAGUUUGGUGAUGUGAGGGCAUUUUGCAUGGCAAAUCUAUUAGUAGUCUCCUUAUCCAUAUUGCAAUGUAUAGUUUCAAUAGAAAAUGGUCUUCAGAAAUUAUUUUUUAUGUUUAUUUUCUCAUACAAUAUAUUCUCAAACUUAGGAUUUUGCACCAGAAAAACACCCGAUCCUAUAUCCCGAAAAGAGUCGCGAGAGCAACAUGAACUUUUUUUAUGUUUGCGACGCUCAAUCUUGUCCCAACUUACUAAAAAGAUUGUUCACGAUACAAAAAGAAGAGCAAUUCCUUCGACAAGAAAGCUAAAUAGGCUAUCCAUGAAUUAAUCCAGUUUAUUAGAUGCACUUUGAUCCACGAAUUAAAAAAAGGUUAUCCAGGUACAACCUGUCCAUAUAACGUUCAAGUAUAGUCGGAGGCAGUAGCGAAUUAUGUUUCUAUACUUAGGGUAUGUUUGUUUUCCUCCUAAAUUAUAUAAGUUGGAUUAUGGUCCAAGGGUAGGAGGAUAAAAAAUCAUCACGGGACCGCUAGAGGAUCACAAAUAAUCUGAAAUACGCUAGUCUUGGAUAGCUUAUUUCAAAUUAUACAUGAUCCCAAAGUAAUAUUUUACCAUAGUACCCAUGACCCAUAAUCCAACUUAUUAUAAUCCUAAAUAAACAUGGCCUUACAAGAUCAGAGAACAAACAUAUCCUCUAGACGAAAAUAAUCACCCAUUACCCAAAAAACGGGAGCUCCGGCUGAGUACGCGUAGUAAAAUGCCAUCCUAGAGCCCCACUGCAUGUGGGACCCUUGACCCAAGUCCACCACAUCCCGUGAAAGCGGAGGAGGCACUGCCCUCCCCCACACGCCCGCCCACACGGCUCCCAUGGCGACGCGCCCCUAUUUAGCCGCCCCCACCUCCAUGCCUCCAUGCCCACCACCGCCACUUUAUUCUCCCCUCCGCUUCCACCAAUCCACCACCUCGUCCUCCUCCUCCUCUAGCAGCCUGGCAGCACUGUGGACUAGCCGCCCUCCCAUCCGAUCCCCUACUCGAAGGUGAGCAGCCCUGCGCCCAUGCCAAAUUUCUCUCGCAAUCCGAUCGUAGCGUAGCACACAAAUACCCCUUCUUGAUACCGGUGCCUUGCGUGGAUUUGUGCCGGAUCUUCUGUCUUCGGUAAGGCCGGCUCUAAUCCACUGCAAAACCAGUUUGAUCUGCACCGAAAUCUUGUAGGGGGCAUGUAGGGUUCUAGUGUUUUACCUGCUUGUUCUAGUCGUAGCAGCAGCUGUCCAAAAUCUUGGGAUCCUUUUGGCUUUAUUUGUACUGACUGUGUGAAAGCUCUGUAUUGAUAAAGGCUUUUUUUUCUCUCGCUUGAAUUGUUGCAGGAUACACCGUGAGUAGGCGUGAUGGUGCUUGAUACCAAUACGUGUUCCCCGUUUUCGUGCAGUCUAACAUCGUUUCAUGCUAAAUCGCAUUAGUUUAAUGGGACGAAUACACUACUUCAUUUGAGAUCAUUGCACAUCCUUUAAGAUUUUAUUCUCUUUUCUUUUUUUAGCAAUAUUACUUUCUAGCUCUUUGGUUUAUGUCCAACAUUUUUGUGUCUGCUCCAAUUUUGCAGGGUCUUGAGUUAAUUGGUUGGGCAAGGAGGUGGUUGAUUCCAGCAGGACCCUUCUCGUGAGCCUAGUCUGACCGGCCUUGGUAUUUGGGGGUUGUUCUGUACUCUCUUUAAUUUGUGAGUUGUGACAGGUUCUUGAAGUGCAAUUGUUAGAGUUUUAGUUGUAGCAGAAGAGAGAAUUUGCUAAUAUGGCGUUGGCAGGGACUUCCAAAGUAGUGCUGGGAUGUAUCGCCUUUGGGAUUUUCUGGGUGAUGGCUGUCUUCCCCACUGUCCCGUUCAUGCCUGUUGGACGGACGGCUGGGUCCCUCCUUGGUGCUAUGCUAAUGGUCCUGUUCCGUGUCAUCUCCCCGGAGGACGCAUAUGCUGCAAUUGACCUCCCGAUCAUCGGCCUGCUCUUUGGGACAAUGGUCGUCAGCAUCUUCCUUGAGAGGGCUGACAUGUUUAAGUACCUCGGUAACCUGCUCUCAUGGAAGAGCAGAGGUAGCAAGGACCUGCUCUUCCGAGUUUGCAUUGUGUCUGCCUUUGCAAGCGCACUUUUCACCAAUGACACAUGCUGUGUCGUGCUCACUGAAUUCAUCCUCAAGGUUGCUAGGCAGAACAACCUACCACCACAGCCUUUCCUUCUGGCCCUUGCCACUAGUUCAAACAUCGGCUCUGCUGCGACGCCGAUUGGUAACCCUCAGAACCUUGUCAUAGCAGUGGAGAGUGGGAUUUCAUUUGGUCAGUUCCUGCUAGGAGUUUUCCCAGCAAUGAUUGUUGGGGUUCUGACAAAUGCUGCUAUCCUCCUUUUGUACUUCUGGAAAUACCUGUCUGUGGAGAAGGAUCAGGAAGGUGGGCAACCAGAAGGGCCAGAGGUUGUUGCCGACGAUGAGGUUACCUCACAUCGGUUCACACCGGCUAGAAUGUCACAUGUUUCUUCCCUGAAUCCAGAUGAUGUGGAUUGCAUAAGUGAACCAAUCAUCAGGAGCAACAGUGUCAGUACCAGUGUGAAUGAGAACCUGAGGAGCAGAAGCAUCAAUUCUGAGGCUGACAUUCAACUCGCCAUCAAGUCUCUGCGGGCAUCGAGCAUGUCACACGAGAUGGUAGAGGUCUCGACGGUUCCUGAUAGGAGAGAUGAAGGUGCAUCCUCAAGGAAGUUCACUAGAACUGCUAGCCAACAAAGGAGUGUGAUAAUAGAGGACCUGCCACCCUCCCCUGACACCAAUGGGGAAAAGGACAAAGAAGCUGAAGUUGCAGAGAAAAGGUGGAAAAUUCUUGUGUGGAAGACUGCUGUUUAUCUUAUAACUCUCGGUAUGCUCAUUGCACUUCUAAUGGGGCUUAACAUGUCCUGGACUGCAAUUACUGCAGCUCUUGUUCUUCUGGCACUUGAUUUUACAGAUGCACAGGCUUGCCUUGAGAAGGUAUGUUCCUCAAAUUUUGAUCAAUGCUUAGAGAGUUGAUACUUUUCUUAGCAUGAAUGAUGAUCAUCUUCUUGACUUGCAGGUGUCAUACUCAUUGCUGAUCUUUUUCUGCGGGAUGUUUAUCACGGUUGAUGGUUUCAACAAAACUGGCAUCCCGAACACAUUAUGGGAGUUAGUGGAACCAUAUUCACGAAUUGAUAGUGCCAAAGGUGUUGCACUUCUUGCGGUGGUGAUUCUUAUCCUUUCAAAUGUGGCCUCAAAUGUUCCCACAGGUACUUUUUCUCAAAUUGAUUUCUUUUGGGCACUAUUGGAAAUUUUAUGAACACGGCCAUCUGUAAUCAUUUAAUACUUUAUAACAUAUAUGCUAUUUUGUUUAAGAAAUCUGUUAUAUUGGUAUUUUAGAGGCUGUGUGCUCAUAUGGCCUUCUGGUCUCUCUGUUCUUUUCUGGUGCCUAGCAUGAUUAAAGGAACUGGAAUAUUACUCUAGCAUUUGGUGCGCAAAACUGAAAUUUGUACAUCAUUUGCAAAAUUUGUACAGAAUUAAACUGAAUUGCCACAACAAUUCAUGAUCCACAAAGAGGAACACUGACUUUAGUAAGACUUAAAAUAUUUGUAGUGCUUUAUCAGAGUACUUUCUGUGCUGUAAAACAUUCAAUCCUGAGCCUAUAUUUGUGGAAAGUAAUCAUGGAAGUUAUAUUGUUCUCACAGAAAUAGGUUUGAAGGCACUUAAUUUAUCCAAACCAGAGAUCUAUAUAUUAUACUGAACUGAGCAACUUAUGGUCUUUUAGUCUGUACUGUACUUCAGAACUCAGAAGUUUGCGAGAGUAAUUAGAUCCAGCAUGUUCAUCCUAUAUCGGAACUUUUCUUUUCUUUUUUCAGUAUUGUUGCUCGGUACAAGAGUGGCUGCAUCAGCUGCCGCAAUUUCUCAUGGUUCAGAGAGGAAGGCCUGGCUCAUUCUUGCAUGGGUCAGCACCGUGGCUGGGAACCUCACCCUCUUGGGUUCCGCCGCGAAUCUGAUCGUGUGCGAGCAGGCCAGGCGAGCCCAGUUCUUCGGCUACAAUCUCACCUUCUGGAGCCACCUCCGAUUCGGGGUGCCAUCGACCAUCAUAGUCACGGCGAUCGGGCUGCUCAUCGUCAUCAGUUACUGAAGUCAGCUGAAGGCAGGCGAUAGUGUACGAGAAGCAGAACGGAUAAAUCCAUCCAAUAAGAAAUCACAUGUAAAAUAGGCUUGUAACUCUCGUGUGUGUGUCAGUAUGUGUAUGUCUCCGUCUGUGUUCUUGCUCAUUUGGCGCUGCUAGCAGACUGCAGAUAGCUGACCGUGUAGCCUGCAUUUUCAUUCCUGAACGGAUGUUGCAAAUAGGGUUAAUGAAGAACGGUAUGAUAAUCUGAUUGCUGAUUUUGUGUUCUAGAUGCUUAACCGUGAGUUUCUCCAAGCUUGUGUUUCGAUUUCUGGAGCAAAGCGUUUAAAUAGUUCGUUUCCGAAGCUGAAACUCUGUUAACUUCUGCUUUCAAAUAAAAAAUCCGAAAGUGAAGUUUGGGCAAAAAUUGGAAGCAGCCCAUCACCUCAUUGGGCUUAUUGUGCCCAACAGCUAUAACUUUCGCCCACCCACCACUAAGCCUAGGCCCAGCGGAGAGAUCCUUUGCAGUUCGCCCAUUCCCGCCGCCGCCGCCGCCAUCGUCAACGCCGACAGGUCCACGAGCGCGGCGCCCGCGGCGAGAGGAUCAUCCUUCUCCGCCGCGAUAGAAGUGGACGCGGAGAGGCCUCAGUUCGAGCCUUCUUCGAGGCGCUGAUGCCAAGCGAGAUGAACGGCGGGAGGCCCCAAUCCCGGAAGUAGCCAGUGCCGAUCCACCGGUUCGCGCCGCUGUAGAGGUGUCGGAUGGAGAAUUGGAGAUAUACACUCCCGUCAACGGGCACAUGAAAAUCGACAUCCGCAUGAACCUUAAGGUGCGUGGCGUGACCUUGUGAUUUGUGCUUGUGCUUUUUUAUUUGAGCGUGAAAAGCGUCUGGAGUUGUGGUUAUCCUUGCAUCAUGGAUUAUAUGAGUCUGCAAAUCCUUAAUUGUCGAUUAGACAACUGUUCGUGUAAUUUUGUAGGAUGAUAUCCCAACGUAGAAGGUGCAUAUUUGACGAAUGCUCAUAUAAGCUGAAGUAUAGAACCAGCAUUGUAGAUGAUGGUGUGCUGUUGUUAUUAUGAGGAUGGAAUUUGUGGACGGGCUGAUAAAUUCGAUCAGUGUUGGAGUAUCUGUGCUGAAGGGAUAAAAUUCAGUAGUAUAAUGGAUCCAGCUUUGCUGCGAAUCCGAAACAAGUAGUGCAAAAAAUAAUUCUAAUUGUGGAUCCCUUCAAUCACUUCUGCCUGUCAUGAACAUAGUUAUUCAGUAAGGGGUUCCAACUUCAUUUUUAAAAUGAGCAAGCACAAAUAUUCGAAAGGAUAGCUCAGUACUUGUUCACAAAUACCAUCAAUCAUUAUUUUGAUCUUCAUAGAUAUGCAUGACAACAGAACCUUAUAUUUUGAAUAAUGAAAAUACUUUCUUUGUUGAAUUGUUGUGAGCUGUCAUGACGCUUUGGUUCCAUGGAUUCCUGUAUUAUCCCCUUGUUUUUUUUGUUUUAAGUGACGAUAUCACCAAUGCUUGCAAGCCUAGACCUCCUGACUACUGUUUCCUGAACGAAUUGUCAUUAUUUUAUUUCGUAUUCCUUAACCGCUCUGCUGUAUGAUUAGGCCAUUUCCUACGAAGCAAACCCAUUAAAACAAUAACUAUUUCGUCUACCUCAGGCAGGAAGGGCAGAGCUGAAAACAAGCAAGGCACACCUGACGUGAGCAACCUGCAGAAAUGCUUGGACUUCUUCGUGCAUGCAUUCAUGCUUGGAUUCGGCAUUCGGAUGCCAUCGCCUUACGACCUUUACGUGGAUUCAUUCGAGGUAAAAGGACGUGAAGAGGCUCCGAGGGGAAGGUAGGCAAGACCAAGUAUAUGCCGUCGAGGACUCGACCAGGCCAGGACGCGGACUGUUAUCACGGACACGGAGAUCCAUAUCCUUGGGUCCUUUCAACAUUGUGAUCGAUGCCGUCCAACCGUUGCUAGCCGCGCCGCCCAAGUCCCUCGCCGGGAGGCCGCAUCCCCUGGGAUUCUACGGCCCGGCCGGAAUUGGGCGCGGGGCUUGUCAUGUGCGUGAACAAAAACAGCACCUAUGUUUCAUACUUACAAAUCACAAAACGUCCAAUGAUUUAACAACAAAGUACUUGCAGCAGCAAACUUACUAGAAUACCAAUUCUCAUCAUCUCAUCUCAACAUAUCAAAGAACACACGUAUGCCUCUCAUGCCAACUCAUCGGCACAAUCAACCACUUCACAUAUGGAUCAAUAGCAAGUAAGAUGGUGACUGAAUCAACACAUAUGGCAAGAAAAAUACCAAAUCAAUAGUAGACACCAAGAUUCAUGUGGAAACCCCUUGCGGGAAAAAACCACGAGCGGCGGCAAGCAAUCCACUAUAUGAAGAAGCAAUACAAGAGGUGGGAACCAACAAGGUGGGAAGCUCCAAAUCCCCCACGGAUUUCACUUUCUAUUGGAUGGAUUUGGUGGAUCUAAACCUCUCCUCUCCUUAACCCUAACUCUCGUCCAAGGUGGAAGAACGUAACAGAAUACUUUGUUCCUAUUCGAGUUGGGCUGCCCCUUAAAAUGGCAAACUUGUAAAGAGGCUCCAAAGUUGCAAAUUGUCACAACCAGCCCCAAUUUCAAUAUACAAUAUGUAUAGGCAAUGCUUGCCAUAACAAAUGAGCUAAUGGGCUUCCAAAUUGAUGAAAUUAGGAGCUGGACAUCAGGCACAGGGUUGGCAAAGCUUCGCGCGCGUGCACGCACGCCCAUUGGAUGGAAUUGGCACUUGGCAGAUCAGUGAACGUCCUGUUCGCUGCCGUACGUAGCUAGCUGUGUGACCGCGUCUGUGUGCACGGCGUGCAUGCAUGUGCAUGGCACGCAUCGGUUCAAUUAUUUGCACCGUCAAGUACUUGCAUUGGUUCUUUCUGCAUGCAGUAAAUCACUCAACGCCCAAGGCGAAAAAUGGCCCCUCGGCCGAGUUGGUCGUGUCAUUUUCUUCUUCUUUAGCACCAAGGGGACAGGGUGACGUGUUGCCUGAUCAUCAUCGACCCGGCGGUCGUUGCAACAUCGAUCAAAGCCUACGAAAAGGGUCCACUUUGCAUGCUACAAACGUUGACUGGGGGGCAAGGAGAGAAGAGGCAGGAAAGUACCCAGCUCAGAGCUUGACGCAUCUGAUUUAUUUUCAGUCGGUUGCGUAGCUUAUAUGUUCAUCGUAUAGAUUUCUGAAACAACAAGUAAUUUUCCAGAUAAGAAAUAAACGAGAACAUAUAAAUGCAUGAUAGAAUCUAUGGGACCAAGUAUUUUCUUAAGUGUUUGAAAACAAGAUAGAUUUCACCGUCAAUCUAUGUGAUAGUAGCGCGCGGAACAAUCACGACACGGGUGGAGUACGUAUACACUGGAAGGAUAGCCACAAGAUAUGGCAUGACAUACGCCAGGAGUAAUAGCAGGGAAAAUAAUCGUAAUAAGCAAAUCACCGUCUAAUACUAGUUUGUUUCUCUAGAUCAACAGCAACCACCAUAAUACGUAAGUAGCUGGUUGUUGAUCUUGAUCCAAGAUCCUAAGACGGUGAUCGAGCAAAUAAAUUGUUUUCAUGCACUUGAAAAAUAGCAAAAAUCAAAGGCCUACUACCAAUAUUGGUUGUGAACAAAACAAUCAGCGGAAACAAUACAUAGGAUGAUGGAUGCCGAGAUAUACGGAGGAAAUCAUCAACAUCUUUGCACACAGCUUAAUAUCUCAACUUCAUAUUAUUGAUGACAGUAGUCAACGCAUUGAGGAAACCGGGUAACAAAGGAGUAGCGCGCUACAACACCAAUUAACUAAUUAUUAGCGGUACAAAAGAAGAACACCAAGGUUUAUACCACAUAUCACACCACUUCGAUCAUAAACCCCUGGAUAUUGGUACAGAUACCCAAGAACACAAGGUUCAUCCCCCUAUCUUCAUCCACGUACCCGUCAUCAAGAUACACUACCACCCCCAGAUCAGACCAGAACAAUUGCCAAAGGAUACAAGUUGCCCUAC